GAAAAAUAAAAUAAUAUGAAAGAUUAAGCUUCAAUUCUUUUACUUCAACAGCAAUGCAAAUUUUUGAAUAAGUAGAUCAAAAGCGUUCAAUAUGCAGAUUAAACAAUUUUCUUGCAGAACAACACUUGCAGCCAAGACUUAUAGACUUAACCAAGACCUGCAGUGAUAUCCCUCGGCGGAGCAUCUCCGUCAAGACGGUUAGGCCUAACUAUACGGUCAAUAAGACCGUAUUCAAGAGCUUCUUUAGCAGUGAAUCGCUUCACUCGACUCAAAUCCUUGUGAACCUUUUCAAUAGGCUGGCCUGUCUUCUCAGACAACUCCUUGAAAAGGUAAUUUCUAAUUCUGAGAAGUUCUUCUGCUUCAUUACGGAUAUCGUCAGCCUGUCCGCGUGCAGCUCCAGCUGGAGAUUCUAGUGCAAUCCUUGCAAGAGGCAUUGCACAUCGAUUGCCCUUUUCUCCAGCAGCAAGAAGAAAAGCGGCAAGAUUGUAGGCAAAGCCCACACAGUGGGUACCAACAGCACUUUUCAGACUUUGCAUUGUGUCAUAAAUGGCCAGGGUUGGAGUUAGAUCACCACCAGGCCCAUUGAUAAACAUGUAGAGCUUCUUGGAAUUAUCAAUACUGUCAAGGUACAGCAUUGUUGCCAAUAUCUGGUUGCUAAAUUCUUCAGUAAUCUCUUCUCCAAUGAAAAUAACACGUUCGCGGUAAAGAGCAUUCCAUAUAUCAACCCAUUGCCAUGAUGCGUCAACUGGAUUUCUAUAGGGCACCUUUGGUGUUCCAAUGGGCAUCAUGGUAACUUGUGCACGUGUUGCUUUACCAUCUUUAGUUCCGGAUUUAAUACUUUUAUGAACUCUGUUGAAAAAAUCAACAUUUGAAUUAGAUGUCGCAACCCCAUAAGAACCUGGAGAUUGGAUUCUUAAUCCGACAUAAACUUUGCUGGAGCAGCUUAAAGAAGACUUAGGAAUUUUAGUUUUAGAGUGUAGAUACGAGGAAGAAGAUGUUGGAAGAGCUACUGCCAUUGAUGCUGCUUUGGUGAAGCAACAAAGGUAGAAGAGUGUGAGAAGGAGUUGUCAAUUUUUU
rnacentral:misc_RNA from 1 species